AUACAUAUCAAUAAGCGGAGGAAAAGAAACCAACAGGGAUUGCCUCAGUAACGGCGAGUGAAGCGGCAACAGCUCAAAUUUGAAAUCUGGCCCUAGGCCCGAGUUGUAAUUUGCAGAGGAUGCUUUUGGUGAGGUGCCUUCCGAGUUCCCUGGAACGGGACGCCAUAGAGGGUGAGAGCCCCGUCUGGUCGGACACCGAGCCUCUGUAAAGCUCCUUCGACGAGUCGAGUAGUUUGGGAAUGCUGCUCUAAAUGGGAGGUAUAUGUCUUCUAAAGCUAAAUACCGGCCAGAGACCGAUAGCGCACAAGUAGAGUGAUCGAAAGAUGAAAAGCACUUUGAAAAGAGAGUUAAAUAGCACGUGAAAUUGUUGAAAGGGAAGCGUUUAUGACCAGACUUGGCCCGGUUGAUCAUCCAGCGUUCUCGCUGGUGCACUCUGCCGGUCCAGGCCAGCAUCAGUUCGUCGCGGGGGAUAAAGGUUUCGGGAAUGUGGCUCCUCCGGGAGUGUUAUAGCCCGUUGCGUAAUACCCUGCGGUGGACUGAGGUCCGCGCUUCUGCAAGGAUGCUGGCGUAAUGGUCAUCAACGACCCGUCUUGAAACACGGACCAAGGAGUCGUCUUCGUAUGCGAGUGUUCGGGUGUAAAACCCCUACGCGUAAUGAAAGUGAACGCAGGUGAGAGCUUCGGCGCAUCAUCGACCGAUCCUGAUGUUCUCGGAUGGAUUUGAGUAAGAGCAUACGGGGCCGGACCCGAAAGAAGGUGAACUAUGCCUGUAUAGGGUGAAGCCAGAGGAAACUCUGGUGGAGGCUCGCAGCGGUUCUGACGUGCAAAUCGAUCGUCAAAUAUGGGCAUGGGGGCGAAAGACUAAU
rnacentral:rRNA from 1 species